rnacentral:rRNA from 1 species
AUUGAACGCUGGCGGAAUGCUUUACACAUGCAAGUCGAACGGUAGAGGGGGCAACCCCUCGAGAGUGGCGAACGGGUGAGUAAUAUAUCGGAACGUGCCCAGUCGUGGGGGAUAACGUAGCGAAAGUUACGCUAAUACCGCAUACGAUCUAAGGAUGAAAGCGGGGGAUCGCAAGACCUCGCGCGAUUGGAGCGGCCGAUAUCAGAUUAGGUAGUUGGUGGGGUAAAGGCUCACCAAGCCAACGAUCUGUAGCUGGUCUGAGAGGACGACCAGCAACACUGGAACUGAGACACGGUCCAGACUCCUACGGGAGGCAGCAGUGGGGAAUUUUGGACAAUGGACGCAAGUCUGAUCCAGCCAUGCCGCGUGCAGGAUGAAGGCCCUCGGGUUGUAAACUGCUUUUGUACGGAACGAAAAGGUCUCUCUUAAUACGGGGGGCUCAUGACGGUACCGUAAGAAUAAGCACCGGCUAACUACGUGCCAGCCGCCGCAGUAA